rnacentral:lncRNA from 9 species
GUGAUGUAUGUACAUCACACUCUGGUUGAACGUUUAUUCAAUGAUGAAAAUGUUCCCUUUCUCCUCUACUUUCGUGCACAGGUUCCGUGGGUUGGCAGACUCCUCAGCACAAGUUACUCAUUGGCAGUGAGAAGAGUUCUGACGUCUGUUUCCCAUAUUCUCUCUAUCGAGAAGAAGCUUCACGGAAACCAAAUUGUCUCUAGAAGAUCCCUUGGUGAGUGUUCUCCAAAAUAUCACACCUGCCAUGCGGAAGAAUGGGGAAACUCCACACCCUCAUUUCCAGUUAGUUCUCAUCAAUAUGAAAUCAGGCUGCGCUUCAGGUUACUCAAGGCCACCUAAUGUCUGAACGUGGAACAGUGGACACCCGCUGCCUCAGACUCUGUGAGCCAAAGGGGACCUCAGAGCACAUCCUGGUUGACCAGCUUCUCCCAUCCCCCACACCUGUUUGGAAGUUGGAGAAAUAAGAUAGAGAGGGUUUGGGACUGAAUUGUGUGUCCCCUGCUCCCUUCCCUUCCCCCCAAAAAACAUUUAUGGAAGCCCACGCUGAAGCCCCCGCACUUGUGAAUGCAAACUUACUUGGAAAGAGGGUCUUUGCAGAUGUAAGCAAGCUUCAGAUGAGGUCAUUACGGUGGCCCUAAGCCAACACAACUGCUGUCCUUGCUGGAGGAAGAGAGAUUCUGGGAUGGACACACGAGAGGGGAACACUCUGUGACGGCUGGAGGGAGAGAUUGAAAUGCUGCAGCUGCAGGCUGAGGAGCGCCAAGGGCUGCUGGCAACAACGCAGAACCAAGCAGGAGGUGAGGAAGAAUGCUCCCCUACAGGGACAGAGGGGGCCUGACCCUGCCCGAGACCUUGAUGUUGGAUUUCAGCCUCCAGAACUGUGAGACAAUAUGUUUCCGUUGUUUUAAACCACGUGAUUUGCUACGGCCAUCCUAGGAAGUGAUACAGAGACAGAGGCAAACUGGUUACGGCCAUCCUAGGAAGUGGAUACAGAGACAGAGGCAAACUGCCUAUGAUCACAGGGUGGGUGAGGGAUGAGGACACCUCUGAACACAGCCCCUGUGAUGCCCCCUCCAGAGUCGGGCCCGUUGUCCUGGGCUUCAGUCCUCCAAGGCAUCACACCGAGGUUGUGGGCAUGUGUGUUUUCUUCCAUCUUGUUUUUGUUCCAAAUUUCUAUAAUAAUUUCCCUCAAGUAGACUUUCCCUGUCUCCCCCUUUUUGGUCUCAAUAACUUUGAAACAGAUCACUGGCUCUGGGGAAAGCCAGCUCCUAUGUUGGGAGCAGCCCUAAAGAGAAUCCUGGGAGGCAAAAACCUGAAAUGUUCUGCCCACAGCCACGUGCGUGCACUGGAAACUGCAGCCCCCACAAGCUUUCAGAUGCCUACGGCCCCAGCAGACAGCUUGCCUGCGGCUUCACCAGCCAGAUAAGCUGCUCCCAGAUUCCUGACCCUCAGGAACCAAGUGAGAAGAUAUAUGUUUGUUAGUUUAAGCUGCUAAUUUUGGAGAUGAUUUGUUACCCAGCAAAAGUAACUAAUACACCCACUGUGAACUGGAACGAAUUUAGGACUACUUCCUGGGCUACACAAAAUACAAGGCAGCAUAAAUUAAGAGAGAAAGGAGGACAGAAAAACAAAGGGUGGAAAUGGAGGGCUGCACUCUGGGCUAGGGGUUAAAUUGGAGCUGUAGCUACCAGCCUAUGCCACAGCCACAGCAACACUGGAUCCAAGCCGCAUCUGGGACCUACACCACAGCCCACAGCAACACCAGAUCCUUAACCCACUGAGCAAGGCCAGGGGUUGAACCCGCAUCCUCAUGGAUGCCAGUCAGAUUCAUUAACUGCUGAGCUACGACACGAACUCCCAUCCACUGAAGAUUUUUUAUACCCUUCAAACAUUGCUGGAGAUUCAGAUGGAAAAAGGAGCCAUGAGUCAAGGAACUACAGCAGCUUCUCAACACUGGAUGGGGCAAGAAAACAGAUUCUUCCCUAAAGCCUCCAGAAGGGAAUGCAGCUCUGCUGAUACCUUGGUUUCAGCCAACUGAGACCCAUUUGAGACCUCUGACCUCCAGAACUGUAAAGUAUUUGUGCCACUAAAUCUGUGGUCAUUUGUUACAGCAACAAAAGGGAACUCACUGAGAUGCUACCAGACAUCAUCUGUCAUUCUCAUUUAGAUUAUCACCAAUCCUUACAACACUCCUUAGAUUUUAAAAGUAUUGAAGCUAUUGAGUAAAUUUGGAAAGAUUACCUAGCUUGUAAUAAGGCAGGAGACAGAUGGGCCCCAGCCUGAGUGGCUGGAAUCUGUCCCCUGUGGACAGAUACUUAAAGAUAGUGGCUGAAGCAAAGAGGAGCUGAGUCUUGCUUGGAUAAAAGGUAAAGAGACCACAUGUUUGUCAUUCUUGAAGUCAAGGAGACCUACCCAAGCUAUGCAUGCACAGAAAGGAUCCUCAGGGGAGGGGGCGCCAGACCAUAAUAUGUUCUGUUAAUUUCCCCAAAACCCUCACACUGGAAUCCAUCUUGGCUAAAAGGUGUGUUGUGCACAUAGAAGCCAGACAAAGCAAGAUGACUGGCUAGAAGAAGCCCAAAAGAAAUGCCCCCAUAUAAGUAAUUUAAACCACCCCCAAAGCACGUGGCAUGCUCUCUCUCUCUCCCUCCCCCUCAUGUAUCUUCUCUUCUAAUAAACACUUUACUUGCC